rnacentral:rRNA from 1 species
AUUGAACGCUGGCGGCAGGCCUAACACAUGCAAGUCGAACGAGUGGCGGACGGGUGAGUAAUGUCUGGGAAACUGCCCGAUGGAGGGGGAUAACUACUGGAAACGGUAGCUAAUACCGCAUACCAUCGGAUGUGCCCAGAUGGGAUUAGCUCGUAGGUGGGGUAACGGCUCACCUAGUCGACGAUCCCUAGCUGGUCUGAGAGGAUGACCAGCCACACUGGAACUGAGAAACGGCCAAGACUCCUACGGGGGGAAGCAGUGGGGAAUAUUGCACAAUGGGCGCAAGCCUGAUGCAGCCAUGCCGGGUGUAGGAAGAAGGCCUUCGGGUUGUAAAGUACUUUCAGCGAGGAGGCGUUACUCGCAGAAGAAGAAAAGGCUAACUCCGUGCCAGCAGCCGCGGUAAUAC